AUUGAACGCUGGCGGCAGGCCUAACACAUGCAAGUCGAGCGGAUGAAGGGAGCUUGCUCCUGGAUUCAGCGGCGGACGGGUGAGUAAUGCCUAGGAAUCUGCCUGGUAGUGGGGGAUAACGUCCGGAAACGGGCGCUAAUACCGCAUACGUCCUGAGGGAGAAAGUGGGGGAUCUUCGGACCUCACGCUAUCAGAUGAGCCUAGGUCGGAUUAGCUAGUUGGUGGGGUAAAGGCCUACCAAGGCGACGAUCCGUAACUGGUCUGAGAGGAUGAUCAGUCACACUGGAACUGAGACACGGUCCAGACUCCUACGGGAGGCAGCAGUGGGGAAUAUUGGACAAUGGGCGAAAGCCUGAUCCAGCCAUGCCGCGUGUGUGAAGAAGGUCUUCGGAUUGUAAAGCACUUUAAGUUGGGAGGAAGGGCAGUAAGUUAAUACCUUGAUGUUUUGACGUUACCAACAGAAUAAGCACCGGCUAACUUCGUG
rnacentral:rRNA from 1 species